UGUGUUGAAUUCUUUUUUGGGUUAUUUAAGGGAACUGCUGAUUUUUUACUCAAGGAACUAUUCAUGCCCCUAUACAUGAUCAAAGUAAUAUUUUAUGCUGCAUUAGGUGUUUGGGAAUUACUCUUUAGUCAUGGAUUUGUUGUGAAGAUGUAUGUUAAAAUCUAAAUAAAUAUUUGAUUGUUAAUUGUUAAUUCUUUAUUCUCAAUUCUCAUAUGUACUCAUCAUAUAUGUUAAAUCUAAAUAAAUAUUUGAUUGCAUAUUAAGUAGGUACUUGAUAUUCUUGAGAAAUGAGUAGAAAAAAUGAUAAGUUUUGGGAACAUGUACAACAACUUGGGCCGAGCAGUUUUAAAUGCAAUUAUUGUGAACUUGAUUAAUCUGGUAGUGUUACUCGAGUGAAGGCUCAUUUGGCCUGCUUGAAUAGCCAUGAUGUUCAAAUUUGCACUAAAGUCCCUGACCAUGUUCAAGCUGAAGCCAGUGCAGAAAUGAAUUUGAGUACAUCUAAAAAGAAAAGGACAAAUGAGGCCCUAGAAAGUGAAAUUGGUUCCACAAAUUCCCAUAAUAUGAGCAUUUAUCAAACCACAAUAGUAGAGUUGGCUACUAAACAAGACAAUAAGUCAUUAGAAAAGAUGAUAGGAGAAUUUUUUGUUAAGAAUAACAUUUCUUUCAAUGAUAUUCAGACAGAAUCUAUUAUUCAAAUGAUGAAAGGUGCUUGUGCCUAUGGUCAGGGUUUUGUUAUUCCUAGUUACUCUAAUCUUCGUACCCAUUUGAUUCCUGAAGCUAAGGUAGAGAUCAUGGAAUAUGUAAGCAAUAUAAAGUCAAUAUGGGGUGACAUAGGUUGCACAAUAAUGUCUGAUUUUUGGACUGACCUAAAGAAGAGGUCUUGGGUCAAUGUGAUAGUUUUUCUCCUGGUGAGGCUAUGUUCCUGAAGUGCAUUGAAUGUGGUUCAAAUAGUAUUACUGCUGGAUAUCUUUUUAGAGAAAUGUCUGAUGUUAUUGAAAUGUUUGGACCACAACAUGUUGUGCAAUUUGUUUCAGAUAAUGGUGCUAACUAUAAUUGUUGUGGUGAUAUGUUGAUUGAAAAAUUGUCUCACAUGUAUAGGACAAAUUAUGCUGCACAUGAGAUUAAUUUGCUUUUAAAGGAUAUCCAUAAGCAUGUUAGAUGGGUGAGAAAAAUUAUUGAUGAUGGUAAACAUGUAGUGGAUUAUAUGCACAGGCACACAGCUGUUAUAGCUUUAAUGAGGGAAUUCACAAAUGAUAAAGAGAUUAAGUAGUCUUGCAAAAUAAGGUUUACUACUAAUUUUUUAAUGCUCCAAUCUCUUAUUACAGUAAGUUAUUGAUUGCAUCAUCUGAAUAGAGAGGCUUCCAUUGCAAUAGAGUUGAAAUAGCAUUAAAGACUGUGAGGAUAAUUCAAUCUGAUAUAUUCUGGGACGGAGCCAAAGAGGUUAUUGCUUUUAUGGAUCCUCUCAUUAGGAUUCUUCGCCUUGUUGAUUCAAAUGGUUUCACUACAUGCUACUUCUAUGAAGCAACUGUUAGGGCAAAAGAAAAAUUAAAAAAAUUAAACGAGAGUGAUGGAGUAAAGUACUUUACCAUAUUGAAUUUGUUUGAUACAAGAGUGGAAAGAAUAUAAUUCAUCCUAUUCAUGUGCUUGCUGUAGCUUUAAAUCCUAAUAAUUUGUUUGAUGGUGGACUUUUUAUUGAGACAAAUACAAUUGUGCAAGCUCAAGAAUGUAUUGUGGCAACCAUUGUUCCUCCAGAAGAUUGUGAAUAAUUCAUUGCAGAAAUGGUUGAGUAUCGAAUGAAGAGCCAAAAUUUGUUCAAUAUCACAGGAAAGUCUUUGAUGAAAACUAACCAUCCAAGGAUUUGGUGGGAAAAUAUGGGUGAUUAUCUUUCUGUGAUUCAAAAGGUUCCUUCAGAAUCUUAAGCCAACCUUGUAGCUCCUCUCCUUGCGAGAGGAAUUGGAAUGAUUGAGACGCAGUACAAACAAAGAAGAGGAACAAAUUAACUCCAGAAAUGUUAGAAGAUUUGGUAUACAUUAGAAUGAAUUCUUUGAUGAAGGAGAAGUAUGAAAGCCGAGCAAUUCAAGAUACAAAACCUAUUGACUUAGAAAAACUUGGUGACUUGUCUGAUGUAAACAUUGAGUUGGAGACAGAGAGACUUGAAAAGACAUAUGUUGAACCUGUUCAUGAUCAACCUAACUCUAUAUCAUGAUACAUUUGUGUUUUUUUUAAUGAAAUGGGAUGAUGUAAUUUGGAUGAUACAUUUUGGAUUAUAUAAUUUGGAUGAUGAUUUUGGAUA